CAUCUUUCUUCUUGUGAGCUCUCUCUUAGUUCUUAUAAUUAACUUGUCUCCUUGUCGAACUAGAUGUCUUCCUGCUUUUUGAAAUGCAUUGUCUCCAAAACAUAGCUUGUUCGAUAUCCAAGUUCAAGAACUAAUCCUACUUUAUCAAUGUCAAUGGAGCUACCAUCACCACCACCCCACAAGCAUUGUGUCUUGGUAGAACUUUGAGAUACAACAUCUCUUUAGUUCCUCAAAGCCAAUGAGUCUAAUCCUGACAGUCUCACCUUAAAAAUCAUGUUCAUCCUUAUGUAACCAAAUAGUUAUAUGAUUAUCUUACCUUCUGUUCAUCCAUUUCCAGAUUAACUCCAGUCAUUUUUGCUUUUCUCGCGAUUAUCUCAAUUAUCUGCCUCUCUUCUUAAACCUUAUCUCUUUAGCAAUCUAAUAUUAUCUAUAUUCUAGGAGUGAAUUUAAAAGCCAGGCCAUCACCUAGUCCUAAAUCAAUCUCCCUAGCUGUACCCAAAAAUACCGACCACAAUAUAAAUAAGAACCCAUCUUAGCCGCCAACCACCUCUCGUCUCUUGUGUACCCCGCCAUUUGCCGAUUCUCGGUUAUAGGACCUCUCUGGGGCUCCCCUCGUCUUGAAGGAAGCUUUACCUCGUCCUCUUUAAUAAGACAAA